ACGACACGUCUAGAUCGAGAGGGGAACAAGAAGAUACUGCCCAUUUUCUUCGACGUUGAACCCGACGAUGUGAAGCUUAAGACCUCUCUGUACAGCGAUGCUUUGGUGGGGCAUCAGAAAGAAAUUUCCCGAUGACGUGAACGCGUGGCGAGAGUCUCUUGUAGAGGUUGGUAAAAUUAAAGGAUGGAGCUUGAAAAUUUUUGGAGGGUGUUUGAUGAACUCAAGACUAAACACAGAUAUGUGACUGAACAUUUAAUUGGAAUGGAUGACCGAGUAGCAGCCAUAAAAAAAUCAUUACACAUCCAUGCUGGGGGUGUACGGCUUGUUGGGAUUCACGGGAUGGGUGGUAUAGGUAAAACAACCCUUGCCAAGCUCAUCUUCAAUCAACUAUCUUCCGAAGAAUUUUUAUUCUCAAAUUAUCUCCGAGAGAUUUGCAAUCAUUGUGGAAAUUCUAACUGGAAGAUCCAACUAAUAUGAAUCCUAGUGAACCUAAAAAAAGGAUAAAGGCCCAGCAAGUCUUGUGCUAUGAAUAAGUAGGUAAAGAGUACAUGUGUUGAGCUACCAAGGAAGUAAUAACACCUAAAGAGAUCUUCAAUUAACUAUCUUCUGAAUUUGGAAACUGCAGAAGUUUCCUUAAUGAUAUCCGAGAAGAGUCAAAGAAGGAUGGGUUAGUCAAGUUGCAAGCCAAAUUAAUAUCCGACAAUGUUAAUUCUAGAGUUAUAGGCAAAAUUGAUGACGUUGGUUAUGGAAUGAAGAGGAUCAAAGAAACACUUUGCAACAAGAAUGCUCUGAUUGUUCUUGAUGACGUGGAUAAGAGUGAACAAAUUGAGAAAUUGAUUGGAAGUUCUUUAUAUUUGGGAGCUAGAAUAAUGAUCACAACAAGGAAUAUUAAUUUGCUGCAAAUUAGGGGAUUUAAGUAUGAAAUUCUAGCUUAUGAAAUGUGGGAGAUGAAUUCUAAGGAUGCAUUUUAGCUUUUCAGUCAGCAUGCAUUCUGUAGAGACUCACCACCAGAUGAUUACCACCACCUUUCAAAAGAAAUUAUCCGUGUCACAGGAGGACUUCCUUUGGCUCUUGAAGUUAUAGGCUUAUUACUUUACUGUAAAGAGGAAGCAAUAUGGAUAGACAUUGGACAAGCUAAGAAACAUACCAGAGAAGGAGGUCCAGAAGAAGUUGAAGAUUAGCUACGAUGUCCUUGGUGAGUUUCAACAGCAUAUUUUUCUAGAUAUUGCAUGCUUUUUUGUUAGUGAGGAAAUUACCGAUCCCAUUUACAUGUGGACUGACCAUAGAUUUUUCCCAUAAAGUGGGAUCAAAGUCCUUAUCAAUGUGUCCUUGAUAAAGAUGCUAAAGAAUGAUAAGCUUUGGAUGCAUGAUCAAUUAAGAGAUCUUGGAAGGGAAAUUGUUUGUCAAGAAAAUCCGUGAGAAGCGUAGCAGGCUAUGGAUCAGAGAAGAGAUACACAAUGCCAUAAGUUCAAAACAGAGGAAGGGAAAGGUUCAAGGACUUGAUCUAGACGGAAGGCAUACUCAGAUCUUACUUACAAAUGACGAGUUUGAAAGGUUCCCACAUUUAAGGUUUCUUAAAUUAUGCAAUGGAACCUUUGUUGGGGGUUUUGUGAAUUGCCAUACAAAGCUAAGAUGGAUAUCUUGGGAUUCUCCUUCUCCAGAUAUUAGGGUGGCCAAUAUGUAUCUACAAUAUGUAGUUGUUCUUAAACUUUCUACCAAUCACUUCAAUGAUCUGGAUGUAUGGAGCCUAAUCAAGAUGGCGUGCAAAUUGAAAGUUCUAUCUCUUCAAGAUUGUCCUAGCAUAACAAAGACUCCAAACGUCUCUGGAUGUUCUACUUUAGAGAGGUUGACUCUUCAGUUAUGUGAAAAUUUGAUGACAAUUGAGAGCUCCAUUGGGAUGUUAAAGUGCUUGGUUGACUUGUAUAUUAACUGCUGCCCCCUUGAAGAGUUGCCUGGUGAAAUUGGAGGGCUGGUGACUCUU